rnacentral:lncRNA from 1 species
UGUGCGUAUCAAGGGUGCUCGGUUCUUGUCUCCUCAAAGUUACAGAGGCGGCUCUGUCUGUGCACUUCGUGCUAUUCACGAGUAUUGUAAAUGGUCGUUGUCUCUGUAAUCACUAACCAGCAAGUAGUACCGGAUAGUUCAAGACAAGACGGCUUGUCUUGAGCUACCGGGGCGGAUAAACCUGUCUCCGCCUCAUUCCGCCCGCCUCCGCGCGUCAGACUGGCGGAUAACGCAACUUCCUCACACCGCAUAACCUAACGGCACAAACCCAGCUCACUCAAACGCACAAGAUCUUACGGACAGUUAUGGCCAAACAGAGCAUUGCUAUGGUAGUCGGCACACGGGAGUUAUGCCUGCUUAGUCACGUGCUGCCCCAUAAUUCGACAGCCGCACUGAUUCUGACCCCGGGUUUCACAGCUUUCCCGGCACGGUCCCACGCCAUGUCCGGUCCCACGCCCUGGCGUGACACCUUGUCACUCUGCGGCCCGGAGCUGGCUGUGUGAAAACUGGCGAACGGUGGUGACGGCUAUGCUGAGGGCUGCAGGGCUUAUCGCCGCCCUACCGCCGCCAUCCUGAUGAGGAAUCGUGAUGGUGAAGCCGUACUUCCGGGCAUACGAUCAUGUUACACACAAGGGGAGGUGUGUACACCUCCCCUGGUACGCACACUGUCACACACGGCAGGCUGCUCCUUUACCGGCACCGAGCCGCGUGGCUGAUCGCCAUCCCAUACAGUCGGUUCUUGGCAACCGCCUCGGCACUGCACACGAAGAAUGGUCAACUUCCGCAAAUCAUUCCUGGUCGUGCGCACUCUCCGCCAACCCUCUCACUCCGCAGUGCCAGCCACGCCCUGCCAUUUGUCCUGGUCUGGCGGCAAUGUCGCUCCCAACUGAGUCAAGGCGGCCAAGGAGCGCUUCAGCGCAGCCCUGCAGCUGGGCACGGACGUGCAGGCAGAGGGGCGCUGCGCCAAUGGUGAGGACAUACUUGCAUCAAAGCACGCUAGAUUACUUGGAACACCUCCGACCCCAGGCAAUGGCGACUGGAGGCGCCCGUACCUGAAGGGCGCCUCCUGCCGCUCCUGCUACCUGAACGAUUCGCAUUACCCCGCCACCGGGCUGCGUUCCAGGUGAGUUUAUGUUGUGGGUUUCGCGUUGUCGCGAAUGGCAGCCUAGUCGCGCGCGAGCUGCUACAAGUCAGCUCCACGCCAGUGUAACCAUUUGGUGCGCCUGCUGCGGAGCCGCGUGGGGCGCGCGCGGGUGUUCUCGUCUCGGAAAAUAACAAGUAACCGCAAUUGCAGCUAACUCUAAUUUUUGUCUUGCUGCGUUUCAGGCGGCAGUGGCGACGGCGGGGGAACACUUGUCUUGCUGCUUGCUAGCCUGGAGCACUCGACGGCGUCUUGCAUCUGCAUUCACAUUUCUCUGCCUAGACUAACGUGCUUGAAAAAAUGCAACACGUACAAGCCUAGCACCCGUCACGCUGUGGGGUUUGUGCGGGACGCUGCCGCCCCUUGUAAGCGGUAACACGCGGCACACAACGUAUAACCCCUGAGGGGAUAUCGUAUAGCACCGCGCUGUGCUUAUGAGUGGCCACUCAGUACGACAUGGUCAAGCUGAGUACUGUGUACAAUGAAGUGGUGGCCGCAAAGGCCAGAUGUCUGUCAAUGGAGUGCGGACACACGGAGCGGCGCCAGUGCGGGGAGACACGCCGAGGCGGCCACUGCGCCGUGUCUGCCGCCUACAACCUACCUGAGUAACCUGAUCCAUUGUUACGACA